UGGGGAAUAUUGCACAAUGGGCGCAAGCCUGAUGCAGCCAUGCCGCGUGUGUGAAGAAGGCCUUCGGGUUGUAAAGCACUUUCAGCGGGGAGGAAGGCUAUAAGGUUAAUAACCUUGUCGAUUGACGUUACCCGCAGAAGAAGCACCGGCUAACUCCGUGCCAGCAGCCGCGGUAAUACGGAGGGUGCAAGCGUUAAUCGGAAUUACUGGGCGUAAAGCGCACGCAGGCGGUCUGUCAAGUCGGAUGUGAAAUCCCCGGGCUCAACCUGGGAACUGCAUUCGAAACUGGCAGGCUAGAGUCUUGUAGAGGGGGGUAGAAUUCCAGGUGUAGCGGUGAAAUGCGUAGAGAUGUGGAGGAAUACCGGUGGCGAAGGCGGCCCCCUGGACAAAGACUGACGCUCAGGUGCGAAAGCGUGGGGAGCAAACAGG
rnacentral:rRNA from 1 species